rnacentral:snRNA from 13 species
AUUAUUUUUCCAAAAAAAAAAAAAAAAAAAAAUCUGUUCUUAUCAGUUUAAUAUCUGAUACGUCCCCUAUCUGGGGACCAUAUAUUAAAUUGAUUUUUGGAAUAGGGAGAUGGAAUAGGGGCUUGCUCCGUCCACUCCACGCAUCGACCUGGUAUUGCAGUACCUCCAGGAACGGUGCACCCCCU